UUUGCACUCAUCGGGGAAGGGUGAGAACCUUCGACUAAGGUUCGACUCGAGCGAAAGCGAGAGAACAUUUUCACAGGCAACGGCCCGAAGGGUGAGGAGCGAAGCGACGAAUAAUCCUUUCCCCACCGCCA
rnacentral:sRNA from 1 species